AGAUGUAAGGGUGAUCUGGCUGCGGCAUUCGUCAGCCCACUGAUCACUGGGUUGAUGUGGGUGACCUGGCUGGCUCAGUGGGAGUUCCCUUCCUCCCUCACUGAGCAUGCGGGUCCUUCAGGCAGCUGGGCGCUCAAGUGAAGACCAUGAUCCUGGGAAGACCCUCUUUGGUGGAGGGUAGAUGAGCAGUUGUGCUCCCCUGCUGGAACCUCCAAACAAUUUCCCGCGAAUUACCUAAUGGGUUGUUAAAUUCUCACAAUUCUGAACUAGUUCAUGUUCGAGUCCCCAU
ensembl:misc_RNA 7SK 7SK RNA